AGUGAACGCUGGCGGUAGGCCUAACACAUGCAAGUCGAACGGCAGCACAGUAAGAGCUUGCUCUUACGGGUGGCGAGUGGCGGACGGGUGAGGAAUACAUCGGAAUCUACUUUUUCGUGGGGGAUAACGUAGGGAAACUUACGCUAAUACCGCAUACGACCUACGGGUGAAAGCAGGGGAUCUUCGGACCUUGCGCGAUUGAAUGAGCCAAGGUCGGAUUAGCUAGUUGGCGGGGUAAAGGCCCACCAAGGCGACGAUCCGUAGCUGGUCUGAGAGGAUGAUCAGCCACACUGGAACUGAGACACGGUCCAGACUCCUACGGGAGGCAGCAGUGGGGAAUAUUAGACAAUGGGCGAAAGCCUGAUCCAGCCAUACCGCGUGGGUGAAGAAGGCCUUCGGGUUGUAAAGCCCUUUUGUUGGGAAAGAAAAGCAGCAGGUUAAUACCCCGCUGUUCUGACGGUACCCAAAGAAUAAGCACCGGCUAACUUCGUG
rnacentral:rRNA from 1 species